rnacentral:rRNA from 1 species
UACGAAGGGGGCUAGCGUUGCUCGGAAUCACUGGGCGUAAAGGGUGUGUAGGUGGCGCGCUAAGUCGGGUGUGAAAUUUCGGAGCUUAACUCCGAAACUGCAUUCGAUACUGGCGUGCUUGAGGACUGGAGAGGAGACUGGAAUUUACGGUGUAGCAGUGAAAUGCGUAGAUAUCGUAAGGAAGACCAGUGGCGAAGGCGGGUCUCUGGACAGUUCCUGACACUGAGACACGAAGGCCAGGGGAGCAAACGGG